UUUUCCGCAAUGGGCGAAAGCUGACGGAACAAUACCGCGUGAGGGAGGAAGGCUUUUGGGUUGUAAACCUCUUUUAUCAGGGAAGAAUCGAUGACGGUACCUGAUGAAUCAGCAUCGGCUAACUCCGUGCCAGCAGCCGCGGUAAUACGGAGGAUGCAAGCGUUAUCCGGAAUUAUUGGGCGUAAAGCGUCCGUAGGUGGUUUAUCAAGUCUGCUGUCAAAGCGUGCGGCUUAACCGCAUAAGGGCAGUGGAAACUGAUGAACUAGAGUGCGAUAGGGGUAACAGGAAUUCCCAGUGUAGCGGUGAAAUGCGUAGAUAUUGGGAAGAACACCAGCGGCGAAGGCGUGUUACUGGG
rnacentral:rRNA from 1 species